rnacentral:rRNA from 1 species
UACGUAGGUGGCAAGCGUUGUCCGGAUUUACUGGCGUAAGCGAACGCAGGCGGACCUUUAAGUAGGAAGUGAAAGGUUGGAGCUCAACUCUAACACUGCUCCCUAUACUGGAGGUCUUGAGUGCCGGAGAGGAAGACGGAACUGCAGGUGUAGCGGUGAAAUGCGUUGAUAUCUGCAGGAACACCAAUGGCGAAAGCAGUCUUCUGGACGGAUACUGACGCUCAGGUUCGAAAGCCAGGUAGCAAACA